AUUGAACGCUGGCGGCAGGCCUAACACAUGCAAGUCGAAUGGUAACAGGAAACAGCUUGCUGUUUCGCUGACGAGUGGCGGACGGGUGAGUAAUGUCUGGGAAACUGCCUGAUGGAGGGGGAUAACUACUGGAAACGGUAGCUAAUACCGCAUAACGUCGCAAGACCAAAGAGGGGGACCUUCGGGCCUCUUGCCAUCAGAUGUGCCCAGAUGGGAUUAGCUAGUAGGUGGGGUAACGGCUCACCUAGGCGACGAUCCCUAGCUGGUCUGAGAGGCUGACCAGCCACACUGGAAAUGAGACACGGUCCAGACUCCUACGGGAGGCAGCAGUGGGGAAUAUUGCACAAAGGGAGCAAGCCUGAUGCAGACAUGCCGCGUGUAUGAAGAAGGCCUUCGGGUUGUAAAGUACUUUCAGCGGGGAGGAAGGUAGUAAAGUUAAUACCUUGGCUCAUUGACGUUACCCGCAGAAGAAGCACCGGCUAACUCCGUG
rnacentral:rRNA from 1 species